rnacentral:rRNA from 1 species
AGGGACCUCGGAUCAGGUAGGGAUA